rnacentral:rRNA from 1 species
GACGAACGCUGGCGGCGUGCUUAACACAUGCAAGUCGAACGAAGUGGCGAACGGGUGAGUAACGCGUAAUCAACCUGCCCUUCAGAGGGGGCCAACAGUUGGAAACGACUGCUAAUACCGCAUACUGAAGGAGGGGAUUGAGUCUGAUUAGCUAGUUGGGGGGGUAACGGCCCACCAAGGAGAUGAUCGGUAGCCGGGCUGAGAGGGUGAACGGCCACCUUGGGACUGAGGCUCGGCCCAGACUCCGACGGGAGGCAGCAGUGGGGGAUCUUCCGCAAGCGACGUAAGUCUGACGGAGCAACGUCUCGUGAGUGAUGACGGCCUUUGGGUUGGAAAGCUCUGUUAAGCGGGACGCGGUACCGGAAUAGAAAGCCACGGCUAACUACGUUCCAGCAGCCGCGGUAAUUC